rnacentral:rRNA from 1 species
GUAUAUGAGGUGAUUAAUUGGAGGGCAAAUCAAGUGCCAGCAGCCGCGGUAAUACUUGUUCCAAGAGUGUGUAUGAUGAUUGAUGCAGUUAAAAAGUCCGUAGUUUAUUUUUUUAAGAAGCAAUAUGAGGUGUACUGUAUAGUUGGGAGAAAGAUGAAAUGUGACGACCCUGACUGGACGAACAGAAGCGAAAGCUGUACACUUGUAUGUAUUUUUUGAACAAGGACGUAAGCUGGAGGAGCGAAGAUGAUUAGAUACCAUUGUAGUUCCAGCAGUAAACUAUGCCGACGAUGUGAUAUGAGAAUGUUAAUUUGUAUUACAUAAUAGAAAUUUGAGUUUUUUGGCUCUGGGGAUAGUAUGAUCGCAAGAUUGAAAAUUAAAGAAAUUGACGGAAGAAUACCACAAGGAGUGGAUUGUGCGGCUUAAUUUGACUCAACGCGAGCUAACUUACCAAUAUUUUAUUAUUUUGAGAGAACGGUUUUUGUUUGAGAAUGAUAAUAGUGGUGCAUGGCCGUUUUCAAUGGAUGCUGUGAAGUUUUGAUUAAUUUCAACAAGACGUGAGACCCUUAUUUUUUAUUAAAGACAGACACAAUCAGUGUAGGAAGGAAAGGAUUAAAACAGGUCCGUUAUGCCCUCUGACAUUUUGGGCUGCACGCGCAAUACAAUAGAUAUA